rnacentral:rRNA from 1 species
AGAGUUUGAUCCUGGCUUUUGUGUCACGCAGCGCGCGCGCUCAACACAUGAGAGUUGAGUGGAGGAUGUGAGUGUUACAUUUGAAUUAUUAGUGGCGGACGGGUGAGUAAACACGUGAGCAACAUGCCUUGUAGAGAGUGAUAGAUUGUGGAAGCGGAUGGUAAUGCAUCAUGACAUAUAUUUGUCGCAUGGCAGAUAUAUCAGAGAUUCAUCAGUCAGAGAUGGGCUCGAGUGCUGAUCAGGUGCUUGGUGAGGUAGCGGCUCUCCAAGGUGAUGAUCAGUCGCUGGGCUGAGAGCGUUGACCGACCAUAUUGGGAGUGACACCCGUCCCGGAUUCUCUCCCAGAGGCAGCAAGUCGGGAAUAUUGCACAAUGGGGGAAACCAUGAUGUAUUGAUAUCGUGUGGACGAAGAAGGUUUUAGGAAUAGUGAAUUCGUGUAUUAAUUGACGUUUAUGCCGUUCCUUUCCGAGGAAGCUCGGGUUAAUUCGGUCCCACCAGCCGCGUUAAUAGGUGGGGACCGAGCUUAUUCGGGAAUUUUUGGGUGUAAAGGGAGCGUGGGCGUGUAUGCAAUUCAGGUGUGAAACCUUUGGGUUCACCCCAUUGGUUGCACUUGAAAUUGCAAUUCUUGAGCGAGGUGGAGGUAAGCGGAAUUCAUGGUGUAGCGGUGAAAUGCGUAGAUAUCAGGACGCACGCCGGUGGAGAAGUCGUCUUUCUGGUAUCUUACGGGCGGUGUGGCUAGAGUGCGUGGGGAGCAAGCUGGAUUACAUUCUUGUUCAGUGCAGGCUGUGAUGGAUGAUUAGUAGGUGUGGGUGGUGACUCGCCCCCUUCCGUGCAGCUAGUUACACACAAUAAGUAAUCCGCGUGAGGGAGUACGGCCGCGAAGGUUGUACACUCAAAGGAAUUGGCGCGCGGCCCGACACAAGCAGUCGAAGUAUGUGGUUUAAUUGGAAGCAGCAGGGACGAUCCUUAGUAGGUCUUUACAUCGUAUGCAUAGCAUAGAGAGAUUUGCAAUCCCUUAGGCGACAUCUAGACAGGCGGUGUAUUGUUGUCGUCAGCUCGUGUGAUGAGGUGUUGGGUCAAGUCCCGCGACCAGCCCAACCUUUUCCUUUAGUUCAUAAACAAGAGCACUCUAAAGGGACUGCCGUUGACAAACCGGAGGAAGGUGGGGAUGACGUCAAAUCAUCAUGCCCCUUAUGACCUGGGCUACACACGUGCUACAAUGGCAAUCACCAAAGAGAAGCAAGUCAGUGGUGUGGAGUGAUUUUCAAAAACUGGUCUCAGUUCGGAUUGCAGGCUGCAACUCGCCUGCAUGAAGUCGGAAUUGCUAGUAAUCGCGGAUCAGCAUGCCGCGGUGAAUACGUUCCCGGGCCUUGCACACACCGCCCGUCA